GGACAAAGGAUGUUCUGGUAAAGGAGAGAAAGACCUGUGUAGGAAGAGAUCCACUUUCUACCCUUCUCUACCUGCCUUGACCCCCAGGAGGCUGACCUGUGUGGCCCAUAUGACCAAGGUUUCCCUGCCUCUGGCUUCUGGUUGGGUUUAGCCAAUGGGAGGCAUGAAGAGAUUGGAGAGAGGAAGUAGAGAGCAGGGGAGCACCAAUUCCCCCAGCUCCACUGAUGCCAGGGAAGUGUUCUGACUGUUCCAGGAAUAGACAGUGGCAAUGUCAGAGAGUCGUGGACAUAACGGAUGACCUUGCCAACUUGGUGGGCAAUACAGAUGAGAAACUUGAUCCUGAAAGCAGGUCUGUGAAUAUGGUGGACAGCAAGUCAAUGUCUUGUGGGAUGAUAAUGGUGAUUUUAUUGCUCCUUGUGGCUAUUGUGAUCAUUGCAGUCUGGCCUACCAACUAGGGGUGAUUAAAGGACCACCAGCCAUGAACCUGCCAGUGAAGGAAAAAAGCUCAGCACCCUUUUGGUACAUGAAAUCUGCUCUCAAUAAAUUCCCUCAAAGCUCUGAAACGAAACAAAAGGAGACAAAAGAAAAAACUAUUUACUAUCUCUACUAUCUCUACUGGCUAUUCCAGGAAUAGCUCCUUCCCCUUGGCCCUUCAGAUGUAGGUACAGUAAUAGUUUCCUCUGGGGGAUAGUCCUUGGGUACAUCACCAUCCCUUCCCACAUCAAGAUAAAUUGUCCUCCUAAUAAAAACUCUGAAAUUA